rnacentral:snoRNA from 1 species
AACCCAUGGUGAGGGCACCCUCUCAGUAAGUCCUUGUAUGUCUCCCAUACAUUGUAGAGGGUUUCUAAAUCCAUCUACACAAAAGAAGAGAUACAUUACUUAAUUU